rnacentral:lncRNA from 1 species
GUGCCAGUUAGAUGCAAAUGAAUGUGAGGCCAAACCUUGUGUAAACGCCAAAUCCUGUAAGAAUCUCAUUGCCAGCUACUACUGCGACUGUCUUCCCGGCUGGAUGGGUCAGAAUUGUGACAUAAAUAUUAAUGACUGCCUUGGCCAGUGUCAGAAUGACGCCUCCUGUCGGGCGAUCACUGUGAGAGAGACAUCGAUGAAUGUGCCAGCAACCCCUGUUUGAAUGGGGGUCACUGUCAGAAUGAAAUCAACAGAUUCCAGUGUCUGUGUCCCACUGGUUUCUCUGGAAACCUCUGUCAGCUGGACAUCGAUUAUUGUGAGCCUAAUCCCUGCCAGAACGGUGCCCAGUGCUACAACCGUGCCAGUGACUAUUUCUGCAAGUGCCCCGAGGACUAUGAGGGCAAGAACUGCUCACACCUGAAAGACCACUGCCGCACGACCCCCUGUGAAGUGAUUGACAGCUGCACAGUGGCCAUGGCUUCCAACGACACACCUGAAGGGGUGCGG